GUAUUUCCGCGGGCGCUGAGCACUAGAGAGAGCGUCUUGUGGCUGCGGCCUGCCCCUCAGCCUCCUCCGCGCGGUUACCCCUGUACCCGCCGCCAUCCGUCCUGGCGCUCCGGAUGAGUCAAUGAGGGGCAGGGCCCGAGGAGUGGUCUUCCCAAGAACCCCUGGUGGCCUCCCAAGGCCGGUGCUGUGUACCUCCUCCCCGACAAAAGGGGAAACUGAGGCCCCGAGGGGAGUGGGAAGAGCCGGCUGGACGUCAGGCCCAGCCGCUGGUGCAGUGGUCCGUCCCCUCUGCCGGGGUGGGCCCCUCGGGUUUCGCGUGUCCUCGGGAAAGAGACUGGCGGGCCUCGUGGGCUGUGCGGCUAUCCUGGAGACAGAUGACAGCUCUCCCUUGGAUGGCUUUGCUGGUUCCGCACCAGCCAGCGCCCCCAUUUUUCCUGCAGCACCCUGAUCUGCACUCCCUGAGGGGCUCCCACUGUCCGCGGUGUGAGGAUGUCCCUGGAAAUUGGUCUUCUGUGACUUUCUUGAUGGGGGCAGAUGAGAUCUUUGUACUGCAUUAAGUGGAUAGCGCUCAGGUCCUUUGGGCUUGGCGCUUUGGCAAUCUCCAGGCAGCUCACUUUGGCCUCUGUUCCUGGAUCCCCUUUGCUCUUUUCUGCGCCUGCAUUCAUAGUCCACUGUGUGCAGAGGCAUGGGAGUUGUCAUGUUGGGAACAUGCUAGACCUCAGUAUCCUUGAGGGAUGCUGCCUUGGGUCUGGAAACUGUUAGAGGAAACCCCAAGAGGUGCAGGCACUGAGCCUCUCAGGACAAUGACCUGGGGUCCCAGCUCCCCUGGAGGGGCCUCCUCAUGAUUGUUUGGGGGUUGAUCACAGACCAAGAGUGACGAGUGAUGUCACCCUGUGACUCAUGGCUGGACCUUCUUGCCCCUAUUGUCUCAGCACAACAUUAUUCGACUUUUCCCUCAGCGUGGGUGGGCAGAGGAAAAGCCCUGUGGCUCUGGGGACUUGGGAUCCAGAGUUGAAGACCCUUCAGCUGGCUCUGCCCUGCCAGUGCCACAGAGUGCCAUGGCCCAGGAAGACAGGUUUUCUUCCAUCUAGGCCAGGCCAUCCAGUGGCCAUCCUCCGUGUCCUCCCGCCUCCUCCUGGUGUGACUUCUGAAAACCAAGAAUUUGUUCCUGUUGACUUUUUCUGUGCUAUGGACCAUUGUCCUCUCACCCACUCAAUAAAUCUUGAAACAUGC
rnacentral:lncRNA from 1 species